CACUGCAGCCCAGUGGAGCACUGAGAACAGCUUGCUGUUUAUGUAUCCAAAGUUAUGAUUCUCGCCCUUACCACGCUGUCCAUCACGAUUCUAAUAUUUGGCCUCCAAUCCUAACAAGAGCUUACUUGCAAGUAUAAUUCACAUAGUUGUAUCAUAUAAUCAAGGCUCUUCUUACAAAGAAAGCACUAAUCACAUCUAAUGCAAACUGGUGAAUAGACCCCAUCUCGACUAGCACAGCCCAAAUUUAGCACCUUAGAGGAAUCAACACUUGGCACAGUGGAGACUACUCAUCAGGCGACUUGCAGUUGAUACAGUUUUUAAAAGCCAAAGUCACUGCCAAUAAUUCAUCAACUGGGUCAAUGAUGAUAAAUCCACUCGAUUCUUCCACUACAAGAGCAACGGUUAUAAACAGGACUUGUUGGAAAAAUACCUCAAGGAAAACGUACAAUUCUAACCAUGGGGGGAAUCGCUUUAAAAUUCAAAGCAGCACUAAAACGAAAGCUUCUGGCUCGAGCGUCUGUAUUUCCUUAAGCAGUUUACUGCCACUUACUACAAGCACAUCUUGUCGGGUUUAAUCGCCACCCGCAGUGGCUGGAGAGCGGUUCAUGUCACACAGUACUUGAAAAAUACACACAGAACUUUACCUGGGAUGGAGUUUUAAGAUUUUCUAACAAUAUCCCAGAAAUGCAUAACGUGAUGGAAAAGGCAUCUAUUCACAGAUUGAGAAAAAACAAUCCUAGUUACUACUCCUGCCCUAGUUCAGAAGCAUCAGGACCCGUGACCAUCUCUGAAAACACUUGUCAGGUACCCCUAAAAGUACAGCCAGUGUAUCCUGGGUUCUCACCGGCGUCCACGGGGUGAGGGGACGUGGGGGCGAGCCCCACAGGGGUGCUGCUGUGACACCUGCAUAAACCACUUCAGUGUCUCCAGAGAGCCUCCUGAGGCUCCUGAUAAUCCGCUGCUUUCCUAAACUGUUUCCAGGAAGCUCGGUUAUGCUGUGGGUGGCAACUUGAAGGCUUCCAAGAACUUUCCGUUUUUGUUUGUGCCAACAUUUCUGUUUUCUGUCAAUAGUUCAGCUAUUCAAACAUACGAAGCUGGCAGGGGGGCUGUUUGAACCAAGGACUGGAAUAGGGGGUCCCAACAGCGUCCAUGUUCCAAAUCCGAAUACGGCGCACGGGGCUGUGGGUGUCCCCGGCACCGGAGAGACAAAGGGGUACGGGGGGGGGGCAAACUGGGACCGACCCCCACCCGGCCGCAACCGGGACGCGGGCCCCCGGGCCCCAAACCCCGGGACCCGGAGUCGCUCGCACGAAGGAACCAGCCAACCCCAAACGCCAGAUUCUGGAAAAUCCCCGUUCCCAUGGCCCAGGGCGCCCCCGCGCUUCCUGCCAGCCCUUCGGGAUGUCAGACACCAAACCCAGUUUCCAGCCGGGGUAUUGGGGUGCGGAGAGAGGCGGCCAGGAGUUAUGUAAGUGUGCAGAGGCUCUGAGGAGAGAAUCAGUUACUGAACACAGAGAUACUUAGAUUUUCACAGGCUUAAGGCAGAUGAAUGGUCCGCCAGGAGCCGGAAGCUCUGUGCUGCACCCUGAGACAGACUGGCCCUCCUAUUGGCCCAAAGGACAGGUCCUCCCAAAGGACUGUUAGCCCAAAGGACCCAUCUUCCCGAAGGUCUAUUAGCCCAGGGACAGUCCUCUGGAGGCUCUACCCAGCUGAGACUGGGUGGGUAAGCUGAAACUUCUCGGAUGAGCCACGAGUCAGUGGCAGCAAAUGUCUCUGGAGGACCUGGUCUCACUCCUGGUGAAGUUAUAACACUGAUCACUGAUCAUCGACCACGUUGGCAUCCAUUGGGGUUGUCUACAUUACAGCCACUUUCUUCUUUGUAAAUAAUAUAUUGUGGGAAGAUACUUUUAGGUGUGUAAAAUUGUUAUUUAUCCAAUUUAAACUCCAUAAUUUUAAGUUUCAUGAAGACUGAUGAUAACAUUUAAAUGAAUAAUUUUGUGUAAAUCUCUGCCUUAAUUUUGAACUUUACAUCAAUAUUUCUGAAAAUAAAUCUGGGUAAG